GACGAACGCUGGCGGCGUGCUUAACACAUGCAAGUCGAACGGAAAGGCCCUGCUUUUGUUGGUUUCUCGAUUGGCGAACGGGUGAGUAACACGUGAGUAACCUCCCCUUGUCUUUGUGAUAACUUCACGAAACUCGGGCUAUUACCGCAUAUAAUCUCCUGCUGCAUGUUGUUGGUUGGAAAGUUUCGGCCGUUGGGGAUGUACUCGCAGCUUAUCAGCUUGUUUGUGUGGUAGUUGCUUACCAAGGCUUUGACGGGUAGCCGGCCUGAGAGGGUGACCGGCCACCUUGGGACUGCGAUACGGACCAGAAUCGUAUGGGAGGCAGUGGGGGGGAAUAUUGCACAAUGGGGGGACGCGUGAGGCAGCAACGCCCCGAGCGGGAUACCGGCCUUCGGGUUGUAAACAGAUUUCGCAUGUAACGAAGAGUGAGUGACGGUAAUGGGUAAAGAAGCACCGGCUAACUACGUG
rnacentral:rRNA from 1 species